UGUUUGUGUGUGUGUGUGUGUGUAUGUAUAUAUAUAUAUAUAUAUAUAUACACAUACAUACAUACCCACACACAAACACU